rnacentral:lncRNA from 1 species
GUCAGACUGCCUUUGAACUCCUGAUUUCCAUUCUCAUCUUCUGUACUCCCUGUGAAGUAGCGCACCAGCAACACCGUAAGAACAAGAAAGGCAACUGCCAAACCAACCUUACCUAUUGAUGAAGUAAGCUUGUUAAGCCUGGCUUGUAAGGGUGUCUGUUCAUUAGCAUCACGGCUGAUUGUGCUCAUCAUCUCACCCCAUGCUGUGUUCAUGCCAACAGAUGUCACAAGCAUCCGAGCAUAUCCAUCAGCGACUCUUGUUCCAGAAAACAAAAAUGGAUUCAGGCUGGUGUCGACUUC